GAUGAACGCUGGCGGCGUGCCUAAUACAUGCAAGUCGAGCGAACAGACGAGGAGCUUGCUCCUCUGACGUUAGCGGCGGACGGGUGAGUAACACGUGGAUAACCUACCUAUAAGACUGGGAUAACUUCGGGAAACCGGAGCUAAUACCGGAUAAUAUAUUGAACCGCAUGGUUCAAUAGUGAAAGACGGUUUUACUGUCACUUAUAGAUGGAUCCGCGCCGCAUUAGCUAGUUGGUACGGUAACGGCUUACCAAGGCAACGAUGCGUAGCCGACCUGUGAGGGUGAUCGGCGACACUGGAACUGAGACACGGUCCAGACUCCUACGGGAGGCAGCAGUAGGGAAUCUUCCGCAAUGGGCGAAAGCCUGACGGAGCAACGCCGCGUGAGUGAUGAAGGUCUUCGGAUCGUAAAACUCUGUUAUUAGGGAAGAACAAAUGUGUAAGUAACUAUGCACGUCUUGACGGUACCUAAUCAGAAAGCCACGGCUAACUACGUG
rnacentral:rRNA from 1 species